rnacentral:rRNA from 1 species
UGGGGAAUUUUGGACAAUGGACGCAAGUCUGAUCCAGCCAUUCCGCGUGCAGGAUGAAGGCCCUCGGGUUGUAAACUGCUUUUGUACAGAACGAAAAGGCUUCCAUUAAUACUGGGGGCUCAUGACGGUACUGUAAGAAUAAGCACCGGCUAACUACGUGCCAGCAGCCGCGGUAAUACGUAGGGUGCAAGCGUUAAUCGGAAUUACUGGGCGUAAAGCGUGCGCAGGCGGUUAUAUAAGACAGAUGUGAAAUCCCCGGGCUCAACCUGGGAACUGCAUUUGUGACUGUAUAGCUAGAGUACGGCAGAGGGGGAUGGAAUUCCGCGUGUAGCAGUGAAAUGCGUAGAUAUGCGGAGGAACACCGAUGGCGAAGGCAAUCCCCUGGGCCUGUACUGACGCUCAUGCACGAAAGCGUGGGGAGCAAACA